CUGGGCUGGUGGGGAUACGCGUAGCGUCAAUAAUUGCGGGGGCUAACCACUUGAAAGAU
rnacentral:ribozyme from 1 species